UAAAAAGCGAGCACAACCACAAGAAAGCGAAAAAAAAAAAACAAUGCAAGGAACUACCUGAGGGCCAAGAUGAAUGCUAAAGACUGGAAGACAUGGGAAUUAAAAACCAUGUCUCGAAGAGAA